GCUUACAGCCAUACCACCAUGAAUGUGCCCCAUCUCGUCUGAUCUCGGAAGCUAAGCAGGGUCAGGCCUGGUUAGUACUUGGUUGGGAGACCGCCUAGGAAUACCAGGUGCUGUAAGCU
rnacentral:rRNA from 1 species